CGGAGGAACGCUAACAGAUGAUCAGUGUUGUGUAACUGUUCAUUUGUAGCGACUUUUUCACUCGCGAAGCGGUGAUGUAAUUAUACACCCUGGAACCGUUUAUUUUAAAGAAAAGUCUUUAAAGUUCGAGGAAGUUUCAAAUGGAAUCAAGAAAAAAACAAUAGUUACUAAAGACCCUUCUCUUCAAAGCGAGUUUAAGCGGAGUCACACAGUCAUGUUGGUGUGGACUGACUCGAGGAAGACAGAUGAGUAGAAGAUGACCAAACAUCCCUUUAAGGUUAUGACCAGGUCUUACAUGAAAUCUUAGCACACAAGAUUGAUUCCCUUUAGACGUUCACCUUGUGUGGAAGCUGUAGAGAUCAAUGCACAUGUCUCUGAUUGCAGACACGCCGUCUCCUGUCUUCCCCUGAGAGAUGUGCUCGGCGCCGGAGGACUCAGACCUACCUGUGAUUCAGGAGCACAUCUGGCCCACCUGACUAUUACACAUGGUGUGUCUCACUGGCAUCACAGGAGCGCAGCAAGUGUGUGUGUGUGUGUGUGUGUGUGGAAGGAGAAAGACUCGUUGAUGACAUAAACCAGGACCAGCAGAUGGCAGCACCAUACAAAGGCCAAGAAAACUGGUCAAAAGUGUGAUGCAAGGGCACAUGAUAAAGACAGGUCUUUAUUGAGGGGAACAAUGGUGAGGAGUUACAACACAAGAGACCUCCAAAGCAUGUGCAGUACAUGCAGAACUGAAACAGAGGUCAGACACAAAAUGAGUACAUGGGGAGGAACAAGCCUUUCGAAAGAACCUGAGGUAUUUUGCAUCAAGCAGCCUAAGGUGUCAAUAUUUCCUCUUUAAAAAAAUUCUAUAUCAAUUAGUUUUGUUGAUACGAUGCCAUCCACACAAAAUAUAAUAAUAAUAGUAAUAGUAAUAAUAAUAAGUUGCCAACUAUUUGACAAUUUCAGCAAAAAAAGGACAGCCUGCAUCUUUUUAUUACAUGUUUUAAAUAAUGAUAACAAAUGUCUUUAAAAUUAUAGUACAGGGAAGGAAGAGGACAUAUAGGUAAUGUCUCACACAAGAAGAAAAAAAAACUUACAGCAGCACAAGUACAAGAUUUGCCAUACAGAAAAGCUAACUGAAAAAUACAGACAUAAAUAAAUUGCUGAACUAUUCCCCAUUGGAGAGGGCAAUCCCAUUCACAUUUGCACACACACACACACACUUUCUGUGUUAUAUUUAACCUUUGGAGCGUUCUAGAGAUUCUGAGAGAAACAGAGAGGAUGAAGGGAAAAAAGGAGUGAAGGAGAGUAAGUGUAGAAGAGAAAUUGGCGCUAAAGAGAGAUGAAGAAAAGGGAUGAAUAGAGAAAGCUCAGACUUGUAAUUGACUCAUUAAAAGCUCCCCUGAGAAGAAAGCAAGCAGAAUGUAUUGUCACCGUAGUGAAGAUUCUGUUCUUAUCACUUAUUGGUCUUUCAUAUAAAGUUUAUGAUCCAAUAAAAACGUGUUGAUCAGCAGACCAUCGGCCAGGUUCAAAUGCAUGUAGUUGUGUAUCCUUUCUUUACUGAUGAAAAGGUUAGAGGUUUAUCUCCUCUCCAAGACGCUAGUUUAUAAGAGCAUCUGCAAAGGGUCCUUCUGUCAGUCAUUCACAACAUCAAUCCACACAUCCCCCCGCAAUCAGACCCAAACAAACAAUAAAUAAUGUCAUAAAUAUGCAGAACAAAUGGGGGACACAGACAAACCCCUUUAGAGUCCCUGUCAUUUUCCCCUUCAUUUCGUCUUGUGUGCUUGUUAAUACAAAAAUCUAAUUCUUGAAAAUCGAAAUGAGUCACUCCUCAUUUUACGAUGCUGGGGUAUCAUACAUAUUUUUCUAGAUUACUCUAGAAUAUUCAUGCUGGAUUAAAGUCUUUAAUAAUUCAAGCCAGCAGGUUGAAGAGACAAACGAAAGCCAUACCAAAUGCUUUAGUUUGUGACACACUGCAGGACACCAAUGGUUACACAUGAUUUUUUUUUUUUUGUAAAGCGCUGUGGUACCCUUUUAAUGAGAACGUUGUAAAACUUCCCUCUUAAAGCAACAGAAAGUGCAUUUAGACAUCAGAUAAUUCCUGGUAAUAACUGCACUCCCUUAUAAAGAAAAACAAAGUAAAAAACGCAUAUUGCUUGAAGUUGCGUAUCAGUUUUGCGAGUGUAUUUUUGUAAAUGUCACAGAAAAAGAGAGAUCAACACUGAAAAAGAGGAAAAAAUAAAAACUCCACAAUCUUUAUAUUAUUUCUCAUUACCAGAAUGAACCAGUAGAAUAAAUUAAAACGGUACGAAAAGGAAACGUCCAUUGAAAUCACUGUGUAUAGUUUAUAUACUAUUUGUUUGUAGGGAAAACAGCAGCCUUGACGCAUGCUUAGUGAGAGAAACGUGGGUUGCACAACAGUUCGCGCAUCACCACUUGGGCACAGGAUGGGAAGGACUAGACCCUGAAAUCUGGGUAACAAAAGAAUAACAGAGAACAUUAUGGGAAAACGCCCACAAUGCGUUUCCUUCAUGACAUGCCUGGUUCCUCCUCCAGGAUUCCAUGAAUGCUGGGAUACAGGAGCAGGGUGGACAUGAGCACUGCACAAAGAGGCCUUCAUUCAGCCAGUAAAAGCAUGUACCACCAAGGCUUAGUCUGUGCUGACUCCUUGUGCUGUGGCGGUGUAUCUUCACUGAGUCCAGGGCAGCAUUAUGAAUGAAACAAGUGUGAGCAUAACAGCCAUGCUUGAUUCUCAAUACACCAAAAGGCUGGUAAAGCUUUUAUGAGGAAUAGGGUGGUUUGUUUCUAGAAUGAGGAAACGAGGGAUUCUGCCACUGCAGUCUCAGCUCAUUAUCAUCUGGGGAUGGCUAUGGCUUAAAAACAGUAGAAAGACAAAGCAUAGUCUAUCUGCGUCCGGUUCCACCGGCUUAAAAAGUCCAAAAAAAAAGUUCAAUUUCUGAGAACUAGUCUUUACUGACAAGUCUAUGAACUAAUAUGAAUGUUCCUCAGCCUUGCCAGGCUCACUCUUAGUCAUCCUUCCUCAUAAGUGGUGUCUGUCCGUCUGUGCGUUAAAGCCUC
rnacentral:lncRNA from 1 species